UGGGAUUUGGCUGGUAGGAUGGGGAUGGUUUAGUUGCAUUUGUGUGUGUUUAGGUGAUUUGUUUACCUUCCUCGUACUUUGCACUAUCGUGUUCUUGUACUGUUUGUUGUUGUAACGUUCUGACCCGCCCCUAUUGGACAUCUUUGAAAAAGAGCUUUAUAGCCCAUCGGAUUCCUCCAGUAUAAAUCAAUAUUCUGAGUCUGAUGAUCCCUCCAUAUUUUAGGACUCAUUCUGUUGCACUUCAGCAUCACGCGGACCCUGAGAACAAUCUGCGCCUCCAAGGCAACUUCAGACCGGAGAACCCGGAGACAAAUCCACGUGGCCACGGGAAGAGCCCGCAAACUCUCAACAUGCAGGCGCCUGUGUCGGGAUCAAACCCACCACCUUCUGUAUACCAGAUAGAAGCAUUCUGAAGAAGCUACCAGCACUUGGACCAAAACGUCAGGCAUCAUGCUGAACAAGACGCGGUACAACCAAAAGCACAUCGGAGUUCUAUGCAGCGUAACCAUGAAAAACGAUCCGGUAGUAUGCUAGGUAUGGGUUGGCUCAUGUACCGUCUAAUAGUGUACGUAUGCUCACGUACUAUUUGUGUGUUUUUUGCAUCGCGUACCUUACAUGUUAAGUGUCGGACUUCCAGCAGAGCUAAUCGAGUAAUUGAAUGCAACCGUUAAGUUAGGCCAGGGUACAUCAAGAAACCUGAGAAAGUGCUGUCAGUGGUAACGUCUGUGUAAGCCUUGAUGUGAGCACCUUCGGUCUGCACCCACACUUCAUCGCCCUUUCUCAAGCACAGCACUGAGGCGCCGGACAGGCUGUAAACGCUGCUGGUUUAGAAAUAUGUAUUCUGAACUGCUUGUCUAUUGUGUCUCAAGGAGACCUGGGUGGUGCCAGAUGCUCCGGUGAUAUGGUAAGAAAAGUAAUAGAUGCCCGGGAAAUGGCAAGUGAACCUGUCGGUGAGCGUGUCGUAAUGAUUCUGCUCAUUGUACAUGACCUUGCUGAAUCUGAUGGGAGAUCCGCUGGGAGGGUUUGAUACAGACAGACCCACAGUGAAUGCGGAUCUGGGGAUGGCAGCCGGGACUUCUCCUUUGUCUCCCUUUUCACGCUGAAGUCCACGAUCCCCUCUCUCUCUAGCGGGACCCAUCGGUCCGAUCUUUCCAGGCAACCCUGCGAAUGGAUUGUAAAGAAUGACGAAACAAAGAAGAAUGGUCGUUUACUCUUUCUGGCAAUAAAACAGGUGUUAAGAUCUUCUUUGGUUCUUUCGGUAAAGUCACGUAGAAUGAGAAUAAAAUAAUAAAUUGAUAAAAUAAA